rnacentral:rRNA from 1 species
CCAACCCAAUGUGAACGUUACCAAACUGUUGCCUCGGCGGGAUCUCUGCCCCGGGUGCGUCGCAGCCCCGGACCAAGGCGCCCGCCGGAGGACCAACCAAAACUCUUUUUGUAUACCCCCUCGCGGGUUUUUUAUAAUCUGAGCCUUCUCGGCGCCUCUCGUAGGCGUUUCGAAAAUGAAUCAAAACUUUCAACAACGGAUCUCUUGGUUCUGGCAUCGAUGAAGAACGCAGCGAAAUGCGAUAAGUAAUGUGAAUUGCAGAAUUCAGUGAAUCAUCGAAUCUUUGAACGCACAUUGCGCCCGCCAGUAUUCUGGCGGGCAUGCCUGUCCGAGCGUCAUUUCAACCCUCGAACCCCUCCGGGGGGUCGGCGUUGGGGAUCGGCCCUGCCUCUUGGCGGUGGCCGUCUCCGAAAUACAGUGGCGGUCUCGCCGCAGCCUCUCCUGCGCAGUAGUUUGCACACUCGCAUCGGGAGCGCGGCGCGUCCACAGCCGUUAAACACCCAACUUCUGAAAUGUUGACCUCGGAUCAGGUAGGAAUACCCGCUGAACUUAAGCAUAUCA